rnacentral:rRNA from 1 species
UCGAGGAAAUUUUUCAAUGUUCGAAAGAGUGAAAGAGUGAGUCAGAGUGUUUCCUUUCAGGAAACUUUUCUUUGCUGUAGAUAGGCAGAGGAAUAAGGACUGGGCAAGACCGGUGCCAGCCGCCGCGGUAAUCCCGGCGGUCCGAGUCGCAUCCACAAUUAUUGGGUCUAAAACAUCCGUAGCUUGUUUUGUAAGUCUCUUGUGAAAUCUCAAAUCUCAAGUUUGAGGCGUGCAAGAGAUACUGCAAGGCUAUUUGAGACCGGAAGACGUAAAGAGUACGAUUGAGGUAGUGGUAAAAUAUGUUAAUCUUGAUCGGACUAACAGUGGCGAAGGCGCUUUACGAGUACGGAUCUGACAGUGAGGGAUGAAGGCUAGGGGCGCAAAAGGG